GGCCCGUUGGUCAAGCGGUUAAGACACCGCCCUUUCACGGCGGUAACAGGGGUUCGAAUCCCGUACGGGUCA
rnacentral:tRNA from 1 species